GGUUAAGUGACUAAGCGUACAUGGUGGAUGCCUUGGCAGUCAGAGGCGAUGAAGGACGUACUAACCUGCGAUAAGCUGUGAGAAGUCGGUAAGAGACGCUAUUACUCACAGAUUUCCGAAUGGGGAAACCCACCCAAGAUAACUUGGGUAUCGUUACAUGAAUACAUAGUGUAACGAGGCGAACCGGGAGAACUGAAACAUCUAAGUACCCCGAGGAAAAGAAAUCAACCGAGAUUCCCUCAGUAGCGGCGAGCGAACGGGGAUUAGCCCUUAAGUUUCUUGGAAGUUAGUGGAAUGGUCCUGGAAAGGCCAGCGAUACAGGGUGAUAGCCCCGUACAUGAAAACGACCUUGAAGUGAAAUCGAGUAGGGCGGGACACGUGACAUCCUGUCUGAAUAUGGGGGGACCAUCCUCCAAGGCUAAAUACUCCUGACUGACCGAUAGUGAACCAGUACCGUGAGGGAAAGGCGAAAAGAACCCCUGUGAGGGGAGUGAAAUAGAACCUGAAACCGUGUACGUACAAGCAGUGGGAGCCCUUCGGGGUGACUGCGUACCUUUUGUAUAAUGGGUCAGCGACUUACAUUUUGUAGCGAGGUUAACCGUAUAGGGGAGCCGUAGGGAAACCGAGUCUUAACUGGGCGUCUAGUUGCAAGGUGUAGACCCGAAACCGGGUGAUCUAGCCAUGGGCAGGUUGAAGGUUGAGUAACAUCAACUGGAGGACCGAACCCACUAACGUUGCAAAGUUAGGGGAUGACCUGUGGCUGGGGGUGAAAGGCCAAUCAAACUCGGAGAUAGCUGGUUCUCCCCGAAAGCUAUUUAGGUAGCGCCUCGGACGAAUACUACUGGGGGUAGAGCACUGUUUGGACUAGGGGGUCAUCCCGACUUACCAACUCCAUGCAAACUCCGAAUACCAGUAAGUAAUAUCCGGGAGACACACGGCGGGUGCUAACGUCCGUCGUGAAGAGGGAAACAACCCAGACCGCCGGCUAAGGUCCCAAAGUUCUGGUUAAGUGGGAAACGAUGUGGGAAGGCUCAGACAGCUAGGAUGUUGGCUUAGAAGCAGCCAUCAUUUAAAGAAAGCGUAAUAGCUCACUAGUCGAGUCGGCCUGCGCGGAAGAUGUAACGGGGCUCAAACCA
rnacentral:rRNA from 2 species